CAUGCUCCUCAGUUAGUUCCUCAUGGGUAUCCAAUCCUUCGAUAGGAAGAAUGUUGGAUGGCCCAUUCCCUUGAAGAGCGACUACAUAGCAUUGCCAUGCCAAGGCUUGGUCUCCCCAAAUUUCUCCAAUCCUUAGCUUUAUUGGAAACUUCACUAGCAAAUGGUACGUCGACACCAUUGGCCCGAAGGACAUUCAACUCUGACCGUCCGAGGAUUACAUUGUAUGCUAAGGAAGUUCUGACCACCAGGAAGUUGAUUUACACAAUGGAUUGUCAAGGCACCUGACCCACC
rnacentral:lncRNA from 1 species